rnacentral:piRNA from 1 species
UCAGGGUGUUCGGCAAGCAUGCUUCUGA